rnacentral:rRNA from 1 species
UACAGAGGUCCCAAGCGUUGUUCGGAUUCACUGGGCGUAAAGGGUGCGUAGGCGGUCGGGUAAGUCUGAUGUGAAAUCUCCAAGCUCAACUUGGAAAUGGCAUCGGAUACUAUUCGGCUCGAGGAAUGGAGGGGAGACUGGAAUACUUGGUGUAGCAGUGAAAUGCGUAGAUAUCAAGUGGAACACCAGUGGCGAAGGCGAGUCUCUGGACAUUUCCUGACGCUGAGGCACGAAAGCCAGGGGAGCAAACGGG